rnacentral:rRNA from 1 species
AAACUCAAAGGAAUUGACGGGGGCCCGCACAAGCGGCGGAGCAUGCGGAUUAAUUCGAUGCAACGCGAAGAACCUUACCUGGGUUUGACAUAUACCGGAAACAUCUGGAGACAGGUGCCCCGCAAGGUCGGUAUACAGGUGGUGCAUGGCUGUCGUCAGCUCGUGUCGUGAGAUGUUGGGUUAAGUCCCGCAACGAGCGCAACCCUCGUUCUAUGUUGCCAGCGGUUCGGCCGGGAACUCAUAGAAGACUGCCGGGGUCAACUCGGAGGAAGGUGGGGAUGACGUCAAGUCAUCAUGCCCCUUAUGUCCAGGGCUUCACGCAUGCUACAAUGGCUGGUACAAAGGGCUGCAAUACCGCAAGGUGGAGCGAAUCCCAUAAAGCCAGUCUCAGUUCGGAUUGGGGUCUGCAACUCGACCCCAUGAAGUCGGAGUCGCUAGUAAUCGCAGAUCAGCAACGCUGCGGUGAAUACGUUCCCGGGCCUUGUACUACACCGCCCGUCAAGUCAUGAAAGUCGGUAACACCCGAAGCCGGUGGCCUAACCCUUGUGGAGGGAGCCGUCGAAGGUGGGACCGGUAAUUAGGACUAAGUCGUAACAAGGUAGCCGUACCGGAAGGUGCGGCUGGAUCACCUCCUUU